UACGUAGGGGGCAAGCGUUGUCCGGAAUCAUUGGGCGUAAAGCGCGUGUAGGCGGCCAGAAAAGUCCGCUGUGAAAACUCGAGGCUCAACUUCGAGCUGUCGGUGGAAACUUUCUGGCUAGAGUCCGGAAGAGGAGAAUGGAAUUCCUGGUGUAGCGGUGAAAUGCGCAGAUAUCAGGAGGAACACCAAUGGCGAAGGCAGCUCACUGGGACGGUAUUGACGCUGAGACGCGAAAGCGUGGGGAGCAAACAGG
rnacentral:rRNA from 1 species